AUCCAGAGAGAGGAAACCCACAUUUGCUUCUCAACCAAUGAGUUACAAACAUCAGCGGAAAUGUAAGCUUACAUGCUCUAGAAGUAAAAUAUACCCUCUACAAAGGACCUACAAUGGCCAUCAUGUGGGGAAAUUUUUCACUGCAGUGACGGAUGCCAAAAUGACCUUAGUACCCAUCACCAAACCAACAGAGGGAAUAGGCUUAAACCAAUCAUGUUUUAGGGAAUGUAAGGGAUCAAAGGCAAUUGGGAAUCAAUGACAGAAAUCACUGAAAAUUGAUAGAUCCCACUGAGUUUUUCCACCUAAUUCAAGUGAUCACUUAGAAAUGAAGCAUAAUGAAAAAUAAUAUUAAAAUAGAAGUUGGGAUGCAGCUAAUGGAUUUAAAGUCCCGAAAUGUAAUGUUUCUCUCUCCUGCAAAUUGGUUGAAGAAUAUUGUAAGAAGUUGACUUUAUCUGUGGAACAUAUACUGACAGAUGCAUAAACACACACAUAUGUAUAUGCAUACAUACACACCUUUAUAAGUUAAGUGCUGAAUAAUCUUUGGUUGCAGGAUGGGGCAAAUGUAGGAAGUCUCAUGUUCAGAAAUAUUUCUAAUCAAUGUUAUCCCUACAUACAACCAAAUAAGAAUGUUUUCCCCAGGGAGUGUGAUGAUGAACAGUUGUUCUGUAAUGAAAAGGUUCUUGCUAGAAAGCAUGUCUGGCUUUUCAUUUAAACAUGUACAUGGAAAAUAAUACCAACUUCUAUCAAAUGUUGGAUUUAGCCCAUUAUCAUGUGCAAAUGUACCUGCCUAUUAACUUACAGAUGGGGGCAGGUAUUUUACUAAGGUACAGUAUUUCUGUCCCAGGUCAUAGCUUGAGUGAUUCUUCCUUUCAAGGUCCCCAAUGCUUCAUCUGUCACUCUUAUUGUCAAAUGUUCUAUUUUUCCUGUCCCUGCCAGCAGUGAUUUCAAUUUGGGCUUGACUUCAAGACAGGCCACAUUGUAUCUGUGAUGUCAAUGGAAAGAGGAUAAAAGUCAUUAAAGAUAUUUGUUAUUUUGAAA